UUCAGACAGAACACAGACAUACAUAAAGAACAUAAAGUAACUUACGGGUGAGCGAACACCGCGCCAGAGGUUCAGACAGACUUGUUGCUGUAUUUUUUUUUUAGGUUGGAGUGGGUAGUCCUUCCCUUUACAUGACAAAAUGGAUACUCUGAUACAUCUUGUAACGUGGUAAGAGGUGGAAGGGGGCGGCUUACGCCGCUUUCUAUGAAGGCAAUUUAUACACGACUGUAAUGUGGAAUGGGUCGAAAGGGGGGCGACUUACGCCCCUUCCAUGAAGGCAAUUUAUACACCAAUAGUUACAAUUUUUCCAAGUAUCGAAAUAUAUUUUUUAUUUUUUAUACUAGAAUUAUUCAUUUUAGAAAAAAUUGAAAUAUUUAAAAGAAUGAAAUUUUGAUAGAGUGUGUUAAACCUUACCCAAAACCCAACACCCGAUUUUGAGAUAGACUUGUAAUAUUUGCUAGUGAUGUGGAAUAAGAUAAUAACAACUUUUUGUAUAUAAAUAUUUGUAAUUUAAAAUAGAAAAAAA